UCCCUACGGGGGGCAGCAGUGGGGAAUAUUGCACAAUGGGGGGAACCCUGAUGCAGCGACGCCGCGUGGGUGAAGGAGUAUUUCGGUAUGUAAAGCCCUAUCAGCAGGGAAGAACAAUGACGGUACCUGACUAAGAAGCACCGGCUAAAUACGUGCCAGCAGCCGCGGUAAUACGUAUGGUGCAAGCGUUAUCCGGAUUUACUGGGUGUAAAGGGAGCGCAGGCGGCGCGUUAAGCCUGGUGUGAAAGCCCGCGGCCCAACCCCGGCCUGCCGUUGAAACUGGCGGCCUCGAGUGGGCGAGAAGU
rnacentral:rRNA from 1 species